AGUAGGGAAUUGUUCGCAAUGGGCGCAAGCCUGACGACGCAACGCCGCGUGGAGGAUGAAGACCUUCGGGUCGUAAACUCCUUUCGACCGAGAUGAAUACCUGUCGACCUAAUACGUCGAGAGGCUGACAGUAUCGAGGGAAGAAGCCCCGGCUAACUCCGUGCCAGCAGCCGCGGUAAUACGGGGGGGGCAAGCGUUGUUCGGAAUUACUGGGCGUAAAGGGUUCGUAGGUGGCCAACUUAGUCAGACGUGAAAUCCCUCAGCUCAACUGGGGAACUGCGUCUGAUACUGGUUGGCUUGAGUGCAGGAGAGGAACGCGGAAUUCCAGGUGUAGCGGUGAAAUGCGUAGAUAUCUGGAGGAACACCGGUGGCGAAGGCGGCGUUCUGGACUGCAACUGACACUGAGGAACGAAAGCCAGGGGAGCAAA
rnacentral:rRNA from 1 species